rnacentral:rRNA from 1 species
UCUUCCCUCUGGCGGCGUGCUUAACACAUGCAAGUCGAACGGAAAGGCUCCUGCUUGCAGGGGUACUCGAGUGGCGAACGGGUGAGUAACACGUGGGUGAUCUGCCCUGCACUUCGGGAUAAGCCUGGGAAACUGGGUCUAAUACCGGAUAGGACCACAUUUUGGAUGGUGUGGUGGAAAGUUUUUCGGUGUGGGAUGAGCUCGCGGCCUAUCAGCUUGUUGGUGGGGUAAUGGCCUACCAAGGCGUCGACGGGUAGCCGGCCUGAGAGGGUGUACGGCCACGUGGGGACUGAGAGACGGCCCAGACUCCCACGGGAGGGAGACGGGGGGAAUAUGACAAAAGGGGCGGAAGCAUGAGGCCGCGCCGCGGGGGGGGGGAUGACGGCCUUCGGGUUGAAAACUCCUUUCGCUAGGGACGAAGCGCAAGUGACGGUACCGGGAGAAGAAGCCGCGGCUAACUACGU